CCGAUGGCCGCCGAGCUGUCUGCGAGCCGAAGUCUGAGGUAAAAGGCGGGCAGCUGGGCGGUGCCCCCGCUGCCCAUCUCAAGUUAAAUAAAGCCCCCAACACCGAGACGUUUAGGUCAGCCAUUUUAUACCUGGAAUCAGCAUAGUGAAAUCAUUUUGCACCUCCUCCAUUGCUGGAGUUCAGAGUCCUGUCAACGGCUGGUCCGGGAUCGAUUCCAAAGAUUGAAACUCGAAGGUGGAUUGGGAAUCAGGAAGUUGAAGCCAAAUGACCAAAGACUGCAGUCCUGAGGCAGGAGGACUGUCCCUGUGUAGGAGGGAUGGAGCUAUACCCUCUCUUGAGGGAGGAGUAAACCCUGAGGAGAAAUCCAAAGCUGCAGUCUGUAUGACAAUCCUAUGUUGAGUUCAAUGCUGACUGUGACUGUAUCGGUUUCUGACGUUCCUUUGGAUUCAUCAGCUGCAUGGAGAGAUGGAGUUUGCUGGA